rnacentral:rRNA from 1 species
AUUGAACGCUGGCGGCAUGCCUAACACAUGCAAGUCGAACGGUAACAGGCCCUUCGGGGUGCUGACGAGUGGCGGAUGGGUGAGUAAUACUUAGGAAUCUACCCUGUAGUGGGGGACGAACCCGGGAAACGUACGGCGUAAUACCGCAUACGCUCUACGGAGGAAAGACGGGGACCGGCAAGGCCUCGCGCUAUUGGAUGAGCCUAAGCCCGACUUAGCUAGUUGGUGGGGUAAGUAGCCUACCAAGGCAAUGAUCGGUAGCUGGUCUGAGAGGACGACCAG